CAGGUGUGCCCAGGUGCCCCCAGGUGCCCCCAGGUGUGCCCCGGGUGUAUCCCAGGUGUGCCCAGGUGUAUCCCAGGUGUAUCCCAGGUGUGCCCAGGUGUAUCUCAGGUGUAUCUCAGGUGUGCCCAGGUGUGCCCAGGUGUAUCUCAGGUGU